AUUUAGAUCAGAGACUCGGUCAGAGAACUGAUGAUCGUGAUAUAGUUUCCUUAGUGCGAUUAUAUUACCGUUGAGAGGCUGAUUAGAGUCGGUGCUAAACUGCGGUCUAUAAAAUACAUAUUGUUCUUCAAAAACCCUAAUUCCGAAAAAAUCCUCUCCCAAAAAUAAACCCGCUCCUCAAAAUGUCCCUCUCUCCCUUCUCUCAGAAAACCCUAAUUCCCCGUUUCUUUCUCUCCGAUCCCUCGGAGAAAACCCUAAUCUCCUCUCUCUGUAGUUCUCCGAUCUCAUUGCUGCUAAUUUUGGGUCAAAUCAUCACGUCCUCAUGAUUUUUGGUCUGAUGCUCGACGGCCAGAAGUAGAAGGAGAUUAAGCGUCCUGAUCGGUCAAAAUGUGAGUCUCUGGUUUGCGACUUGAUGAUUUUUGGGCUGAUGGUCAAUGGUCAGAUGUAGGAGGAGGACUCCAAGCGGUGUUGUAAUUGUGAGUUUAUUCUUGCUUUCUUUAUUGGAUAUUUUCCUGUGUAUAUAUCUUUCUUUAUUUUAAUUAAAGGAUUUGCAUGGGUCUUGUUCUGUGUAGCUAUUACUACUUAUUCUCGGUCGAUCUAGGUCUUUGAUGUUAAUAUUUGGUUUUUAGUUGCUCUUUUCAUGUAAUUGUAGUCGGUCCAAAUUUCCUUGUGAUGCUAGUUAAUUAAGGUAUUAUGGUUAUAUGCUAGGAUGUUUAAGGUGCUAAUUUCUUGUAUUCACGUUGUCUGUAUAUGAUUGUUUCAUGAACAUAUGUCUUUGUAGUUGGCCUUAAUGACAUUUCACCAUAAAGUUAAAAAUAAAUUUAAGAUGUCAAAUAGUUUACGUAAUGACAUUUCACUAUAUAGUUAAAAUUAUCUUAAGAUCUCCAAUGGCUUACUUAAUGUCGUUUCACUAUAAAUUUGAAAUAGUUUUCAACCUUUUUGAGUUCUCAAGCUUUACAAUUUUUGGUCUGAUGCUCGAUGGCCAGAAGUAGAAGGAGAUUAAGCGUCCUGAUCGGUAAGAUGCUUGCUUUAUUUGAUCGUUUUGACAUUUUGGGGUUUGUUCUUUGUAGUAAUUGUUCCUAAUUUUAGGUCAAAAUGUGAGUCUCUGGUUUGCGACUUGAUGAUUUUUGGGCUGAUGGUCAAUGGUCAGAUGUAGGACUCCAAGCGGUGUUGUAAUUUUUUCAACCUUUUCGAGUUCUCAAGCUUUACAAUUUUUGGUCUGAUGCUCGACGGCCAGAAGUAGAAGGAGAUUAAGCGUCCUGAUCGGUCAAAAUGUGAGUCUCUGGUUUGCGACUUGAUGAUUUUUGGGCUGAUGGUCAAUGGUCAGAUGUAGGAGGCGGACUCCAAGCGGUGUUGUAAUUUUUUCAACCUUUUCGAGUUCUCAAGCUUUACAAUUUUUGGUCUGAUGCUCGACGGCCAGAAGUAGAAGGAGAUUAAGCGUCCUGAUCGGUAAGAUGCUUGCUUUAUUUGAUCGUUUUGACAUUUUGGGGUUUGUUCUUUGUAGUAAUUGUUCCUAAUUUUAGGUCAAAAUGUGAGUCUCU